GAAGGCAGAUUUUCCGCGCGACGGUUAACCAGAUGUAAUCAGGUCGAAUUAUGAAUAUAUCAGCACUUUCUCAGCCGUCUCUGAAGGGAUCCAGAGUGCCAACAGGACACGUGCUAGUUCAUUUAAAAUUCCAAGGAGGCCCAAUCAUAAAGCUUUUGCAAGAAACUGGUAUCACCCCAGUAAUUCAAGAGGGGCUCGGUGUGGUUGACUUCUACCCAUCAAAUUCAAUUUCUGUUGUUUGGAUAACAGAGGAGGUGAUCAUUGGCUCUAGCAGCUCUGUGCUAAAGAAGAUAAAGAAACUUGAUGAGGGAAGAUGCAGUGGCAUUGCAUUGGUGGAAGUCACAGAGCUGAGCAAACAGUACUACAAAGAACUGCAGCUUUCGACAAUGGUUGAUUUCAAUGUGCCACUGAUCCCUGUUAGAUCAGUGAAUGAAAUGGCAAAAGUUGUUGCCCAGUUAGUUUACAGCAAGUCUCAACCAAAUCCAAUAAUUAAAUGCUCAAGAAGUGGUAUAAAUAUGGAUGAAUCGGUUCUAGCCACACUUAAAUCUUUUCCAAUGGUAGGAGGAAGGAAGGCUGUCAGCUUGAUCAAUAAAUUUUCAACACACUGGCCAGCCUAAACUAGAAGAAGAAAAUUUCCCUUGGUAACAUUUGUCUGCUGCUAGUUAAUCCCCCACUCCAAGGUAUUGACCAGAUCAACAAAGCAUCAAUUCAGGAACUUGAAGCCCUUGUUGGUCGACCAACAGCACUGCAUGUAAAAGGGUUCUUAGAAGGAAAGAAGGCAAGGUGAAGUUUAUGCAUCAUAUGUUCUGUCAAUUUUCAAACCAACCUUCGUUGAGCCAUUAACAUAAGCUGCAAACAUUCUGUCAAAUCUCUUUGUUCUCAAUUCCCCUCAUAAAAGUCCAAAAGCAACAUCAACUUUCCUUUUAGUUAAGAAACUUAUCAUUCUGAGCUUCUGAACUUGGAAACAAAUUGCGAUUCUUUGCAGUAGUAAAGGACAAUUCAUCCCAUUGAUUAAUUUAUUGAUUGGCUAAAGUAUUCCUUCCUUGUCUUAUUUUCUAAUGACAUUGAAUUUUAUUAUAUGACAAAUUCAAAAGAUCAAUUUGUAAUGCUGACUCAACAUCAUGAAUCUGUAUUUAAUGAAUUUGGUUUAAUUGUUGCUCAAUAGAUUGUAUUUUGCUUUCCUUUGCCCUCUCAAGACUGUGCAUUUUGUACCAGUGGCACUUACUGCUUUGUUUGAGAAUACGCAUUUUGUACAAUUGUCAUUUUCUGCUAUGUUUGAGAAUGCAGAUUGUGUACCUUUGUCACGAUCGGCUAAGUUUGAGAAUAUGUAUUUUGUACCAUUGUCACUUUCUGCUAUGUUUGAGAAUGCACAUUUAGUA